GCAGCUUUCAAUUUACAGAGUUGUAAGAUGAGUUUAAACUCACAAUUAUGACACUUCACAACGGUCAAUAUAUGCUACGGAGGUGAUCCAGAUUUUUUUUGUAUUUCUUUCGGGUCAAAUGUCUAAUCAGAUUUCUUGUAUAAAUUUUGAUAUCAAAUCAGAUUUACCUUCUUUCCUUUUUUUUAAUUUUUUUUAAUUUUUUCUUUUCAAAUACACUUUCCAUUUAAUAUAUGAUAUGAUAACAAUAUUGUCAAUAUCAUUGAGUUUGUUGGGAUAUAUAUAUAUAUAUAUAUAUAUAUUCAAUCCCCUUCUAUUGAGGGAUCCCUCAAAUAAUUUUAUUUGAGGGACGCCCUUUAGGGUACCCUACAAUUUUUUUCCCAAUGAUCCAAACCAUUUAUUUUUUAGGUCUUCAUUUAUAGAUCAUCCUUACAAAAAAUUAGACAAAUCGGAAACCGUUUCGACAUCCAAUUGUGUCUUACAAAAUCAAUGAACACGGUGCUUCAAGAAAAUGCUAAAAUUUCAAUCACUUAAUUGAGUGGUCAAAUGAUAUCGGAUUCAAGUGAUUUUUUGUAGAGAUGAUCUUUGAAUGAGUAUCUACAAAAUAGACGGUUUGGAUUAGUGAAAUACAAUCCGGAGUGGGGCCUACAAGGGGUGUCCCUCAAAUAAGCUUAUUUGAGGGAUCCCUCAAUGGAAGCUCUCUGUAUAUAUAUAUUUAUAUAUUAAAAAUUUUAGGAUUGCAUUCAUAAUUCAGUUAAAAAAGUCAUUAGUCAUAAAAGGCCAGUACAAACCAGUCAUAAAGUGCCAAUACAAAUUAGUCACAAAGGGACAUUAUAAUAACAGAG
rnacentral:lncRNA from 1 species